CUUAAAAUGAAUCAGAAGAGACUGUCUCAAACAAAUGAAUGUUUAUGACAAGUCGACUUGGUGUAAUGGAAAAGCUUACAGGGCUGGAAAGCAGAAGAUCUAGACCUUAGUCUGUUCUGCCCUGACUGGGUCACACCUAUAACCUUGACUGAGUCAUUUGCUCAUCUGUACUUUGGUUUUCUCUUCAAUAAGAUAAAUCCGUUGGACUUGAUAUUUGCUAAAGAAUUUUCAAACUGUUAAUAUUUUCUUUGCAUUAUUUCUCUUACUGGACUCUCUAAGUAGUUUUUAGGAAAUAAAAGCCCAACCCCCCAAGUGGAUUCCUCUCUUGAGGGCACAUUUUUCAAAGCAAAAGAAAGCUUUUUUUUCCCUUUUUGCAAAAAGACAUUGCUUUCUUGUUUUUUUAAUGAUUGUAAAAAAUUAUGCAUGAUCAGUACAGAAAAUAGAAAUCGAGGAAAAUACAGAGUAAAAGCUUCUAUAAUAACACUGAGACAACUAUACUUUCACCAUCACUGUAUCUGUAGCAGGUAUCGUACAGCAGGUGCUUUAAAAACAGUUGUUGAAUGAAUGAUUACUGUUAAUAUCUUGCAAACAUCCUUUUUGGUCUUCAGACCAAAAACGAAUACAUAAAUAAAUCCUUUCUCUGGGUUGUUUCACCUCUAAACCAGAAGAGCUCAGUAAAGCCACCAGAGACUAAAGCUGUUAGGACAAUAUCAAAUCUCUUACAUUGUAAUAUGUUUCACAAUGACAGUUGAUAUCUGAUGCCUAUGGAAUAUAAGGAAACAAUAACAUUUAAUCCAUCAUUCUGAUAGGCACAAUAUCAAGGGUGGCUCAGUUUGAGCAAUAUCAAGAAGGCUGCAAAACAGUCCACAGUACUUCAGCUCAAGCAAGAGUGGCUCCGGCAGCACUGGGAGAGUUGGCUCUGCCUCCUGAAUCCUUCUUCCCACACUUGGGCCCUCUUCCUUGCCCACAGCACCAGGAGGAGCUUUCUGGGGCAUGUGAAUUCCACUCAACACAUUUUAUUGGCAACCUAGCAGCCAUUUGAUUGUCGACUACAUUUUCAGUAAACUAAUCGUUUCCUGAUUACCUCUGAACAUGAAUUACAGCCAGAUCUUGUCUGUAGACCCAUGCUACAUUUUUUCCUCCAAAUGGAAUUAGUUGCUAAUGUUGAAAAUCCGGAAUAUUCAACAUGUAAAGUCUGAAUUGUCAGAAUCUCUUAAAAAGUUGUUAGAUCCACCACCACUGGGCCCCUAUCGCACAGAGCAAUCAAUCAGAGCUGAGGAGCAUGUGCUCUUCAGCUCCCAUAAGCCCACCUACUCCUAUUGUCUGACAUCCCACAUCCCACAGUUUGCUUUGCUAAUUUACCUGAUACGCUCCUGCUAAUUAUGUAAAACAUUCAUGGGGUACCUACUACACAUCAGGCACUGUGUAAGUCCUGGGAACAUAGGCAGAUAAGGCAAAGCCCCUGCCUUGGAGGAGCUCACAACCCAGCAGUGGAAAUGACUUACAAACCAGUAAAUUACAGUACAGUAUGGUGAGUACAGCACAGCAGCAGGAGCAUGCAGAGGACUGACCCACUCUGUCCUGGGAAGCCAGCUCAAGAUUUCCUGAAGGCCAUGGUUAAGCUGGGUUUUGAAGGAUGAAUAAGAGUUCACCAGGCCAAUGGAGUGGUGGGGAAUACUAGCAACAGUGUGGGUGGUAUUAAAAAUAUAUAUAAAGUCUUCUUCUGCUUAGCUGCCUGUUGCACAGAUGAUCCUCUCAAGCCAGCAACUACCUUUCUCUUGAUGGUCAUUCCAUUUCCUCCUUCUAUCAAAACAACAGGGAAGGUUCACCUUUAUCUGGAAGAGCCUGCCUGACAAAUCCCCAUUCACCUCCAGUUACUUCAACUAAGGCAACCUUCCUACUCGGAUAAUUGGUUACCUGACUGUGAUCCUACUAUUGGAGCUCUUUGUUUUGGAACCUCUGAUAUUUAAAGAAUAGACUAGCACAAUAAGCAAUUAAUAAGUACUUAUCAAAUAUUUACAUUGUGUAGAGAACUCUCCCUGGUUUUUGACUUUAAAAAUGGCAAACACAAAUUAACUAAGAACAGAUAGAGAAUACAGUUCAGAAAACAUUUAUUUAUUUUCUGGUCUCGAACUUCUGACCUCGUGAUCCGCCCAUCUCGGCCUCCCAAGAAACAUUUAUUAAGUGUCUGAUAUUCAGGUGUUUUUCUUUUUUUUAAUCCCUCCAUCCAUCCAACAUUCAGUUAGCACUAUUACGCACCAAGUACUGUGCUUGGUACCUGGAAAUCAUGCUGAGCUACAAUAAACAUAGUAUAGCAGGUGACAUGGAUAAAUAAACCCAUUAUAAAAAGUUUCUUGCUCGAGCAAUGUUCAAAAUACAGCAACUGCUUGGAGAAAGGAAUGUCAGCUGCUCACAGGGAUACUGGGUAGGUAUCAUGGAGAAGAUAAGUCCAAGCUGCUUGUCUUGUGUGUUUCUUACCUUUUUAAAUAUAUUUUUCGGCCGGGUGUGGUGGCUUAUGCCUGUAAUUCCAGUACUUUGGGAAGCCAAGGUGGGCGGAUCACAAGGUCAGGAGUUCGAUACCAGCCUGGCCAACAUGGUAAAACCCCAUCUCUACUAAAGAUGCAAAAGUUAGCCAGGCA
rnacentral:lncRNA from 1 species